rnacentral:rRNA from 1 species
UAGGGAAUCUUCCACAAUGGACGCAAGUCUGAUGGAGCAACGCCGCGUGAGUGAAGAAGGUUUUCGGAUCGUAAAGCUCUGUUGUUGGUGAAGAAGGAUAGAGGUAGUAACUGGCCUUUAUUUGACGGUAAUCAACCAGAAAGUCACGGCUAACUACGUGCCAGCAGCCGCGGUAAUACGCAGGUGGCAAGCGUUGUCCGGAUUUAUUGGGCGUAAAGCGAGCGCAGGCGGAAGAAUAAGUCUGAUGUGAAAGCCCUCGGCUUAACCGAGGAACUGCAUCGGAAACUGUUUUUCUUGAGUGCAGAAGAGGAGAGUGGAACUCCAUGUGUAGCGGUGGAAUGCGUAGAUAUAUGGAAGAACACCAGUGGCGAAGGCGACUCUCUGGUCUGCAACUGACGCUGAGGCUCGAAAGCAUGGGUAGCGAACAGG